rnacentral:rRNA from 1 species
AGAGUUUGAUCCUGGCUCAGGAUGAACGCUGGCGGCGUGCUUAACACAUGCAAGUCGAACGAAGCACUUUAUUUGAUUUCCUUCGGGAUUGAUUAUUUUGUGACUGAGUGGCGGACGGGUGAGUAACGCGUGGGUAACCUGCCUUGUACAGGGGGAUAACAGUUGGAAACGGCUGCUAAUACCGCAUAAGCGCACAGCAUCGCAUGAUGCAGUGUGAAAAACUCCGGUGGUAUAAGAUGGACCCGCGUUGGAUUAGCUAGUUGGUGAGGUAACGGCCCACCAAGGCGACGAUCCAUAGCCGACCUGAGAGGGUGACCGGCCACAUUGGGACUGAGACACGGCCCAAACUCCUACGGGAGGCAGCAGUGGGGAAUAUUGCACAAUGGGCGAAAGCCUGAUGCAGCGACGCCGCGUGAGCGAAGAAGUAUUUCGGUAUGUAAAGCUCUAUCAGCAGGGAAGAUAAUGACGGUACCUGACUAAGAAGCACCGGCUAAAUACGUGCCAGCAGCCGCGGUAAUACGUAUGGUGCAAGCGUUAUCCGGAUUUACUGGGUGUAAAGGGAGCGCAGGCGGUGCGGCAAGUCUGAUGUGAAAGCCCGGGGCUCAACCCCGGUACUGCAUUGGAAACUGUCGUACUAGAGUGUCGGAGGGGGAAGCGGAAUUCCUAGUGUAGCGGUGAAAUGCGUAGAUAUUAGGAGGAACACCAGUGGCGAAGGCGGCUUACUGGACGAUAACUGACGCUGAGGCUCGAAAGCGUGGGGAGCAAACAGGAUUAGAUACCCUGGUAGUCCAUGCCGUAAACGAUGA